rnacentral:rRNA from 1 species
GAUGAACGCUGGCGGCGUGCCUAAUACAUGCAAGUCGAGCGAACAGACGAGGAGCUUGCUCCUCUGACGUUAGCGGCGGACGGGAGAGUAACACGUGGAUAAACUACCUAUAAGACUGGGAUAAUUUCGGGAAACCGGAGCUAAUACCGGAUAAUAUAUUGAACCGCAUGGUUCAAUAGUGAAAGUCGGUUUUGCUGUCACUUAUAGAUUGAUCCGCGCCGCAUUAGCUAGUUGGUAAGGUAACGGCUUACCAAGGCAACGAUGCGUAGCCGACCUGAGAGGGUGAUACGCCAGACUGGAUCUGAGACACGUUCCAGACACCGACGGGAGGCAGCAGUAGGGAAUCUUCCGCGAUGGAGGAAUGCCGGACGUAGCAAAGCCGCGUGAGUGAUGAAGGUCUUCGGAUCGGAAAACUCUGUUGUUAGGGAAGAAGUAAUGUUUAAGUAACUGGGCACGUCUUGACGGUACCUGAACAGAAAGCCACGGCUAACUACGUG